GACCUUGUAGCUUAGUUGGUCAAGCGUCUUCAUGUUGUACACCGUCUUCUUAACUUCGUGAGGAUUAUCGCGGGUUCGAGCCCUGCCAAGGUCU